GUCUACUAGAGAGUUUGUGUAGUCUGGCCUGCCCACUGCUAUAAAGUAAAGGGCCGCGGUAUAUUGAACCGUGCUAAGGUAGCAUAAUCAAUAGUCUUUUAAUUGGAGUCUAGAAUGAAUGGCUUGACGAGGGAUUAACUGUCUUGAGUGAAUAUUUUGAAUUUUACUUUUAAGUGAAAAGGCUUAAAUUUUUAGCGGGACGAUAAGACCCUAUGAAGCUUGAAUGAAAUUAAGUUAAAUUAAAUGCGUUAUAUGGGUAUUUUAUUUAUAGUUUAAUUUCAUUGUGUUGGGGCGAUUAAAAUAUACAAUUAACUGUUUUAUAUUUAAAAUAAUUAUAUUUAGUUAAUUUGAUCUUUUAUUGAAGAUUAAAAAAUUAAAGUUACUCUAGGGAUAACAGCGUAACUUUUUCUUGAGAGUUCUUAUCGACAGAAGUAGUUGCGACCUCGAUGUUGAAUUAAAAUUUCAUUAAAGUGUAGAAGCUUUAAUAGUGGGUCUGUUCGACCUUUAAAAUUUUACAUGAUUUGAGUUCAGACCGGCGUG
rnacentral:rRNA from 1 species